AACGAACGCUGGCGGCAUGCCUAACACAUGCAAGUCGAACGAGACCUCCGGGUCUAGUUGCGCACGGGUGCGUAACGCGGGGGAACCUGCCCUUAGGUUCGGAAUAAUUCCCCUAAAGGGGUGCUAAUACCGGAUAAUGUCUUCUGAUCAAAGAUUCAUCGCCUUUGGAUGGGCCCGAGUUGGCUUAGCUUGUUGGUAGGGUAAAAGCCUAUCAAGGCGACGUUCCCUAGCUGGUCUGAGAGGAUGAUCAGCCACACUGGGACUGAGACACGGCCCAGAGUCCUACGCGAGGCAGCAGUGGGGAAUAUUGGACAAUGGGCGAAAGCCUGAUCCAGCAAUGCCGCGUGAGUGCUGAAGGCCUUAGGGUUGUGCAGCUCUUUUACACGGGGCGAUAAUGACAGUACCGGGAGAAUAAGCACCGGCUAACUCCGUG
rnacentral:rRNA from 1 species